rnacentral:siRNA from 1 species
CACAAAUAUAAAGAGAUGAUAUGC